UGGGGAAUAUUGUGCAAUGGGGGAAACCCUGACACAGCGACGCCGCGUGAGCGAAGAAGGCCUUCGGGUCGUAAAGCUCAAUAGUAUGGGAAGAAAUAAAUGACGGUACCAUACGAAAGCCCCGGCUAACUACGUGCCAGCAGCCGCGGUAAUACGUAGGGGGCGAGCGUUGUCCGGAAUUACUGGGCGUAAAGAGCACGUAGGCGGCUAUAAAAGUCAGAUGUGAAAAACCUGGGCUCAACCGAGGGUGUGCAUCUGAAACUAAAUAGCUUGAGUCAAGGAGAGGAGAGCGGAAUUCCUGGUGUAGCGGUGAAAUGCGUAGAGAUCAGGAAGAAUACCAGUGGCGAAAGCGGCUCUCUGGACUUGAACUGACGCUGAGGUGCGAAAGCGUGGGGAGCAAACAGG
rnacentral:rRNA from 1 species